rnacentral:misc_RNA from 1 species
GAUGAAGAACGUAGCGAAAUGCGAUAAGUAGUGUGAAUUGCAGAAUUCAGUGAAUCAUCGAAUCUUUGAACGCACAUUGCGCCCCUUGGUAUUCCGGGGGGCAUGCCUCUUCCAGCGUCAUUUCACCCCUCAAGCUCUGCUUGGUUUUGGGCCGCGCCGGCAACGGCGGGCCUCGAAAAUAGUGGCGACGCCAUCGUGCUCUCAGCGUAGUAAUUCUUCUCGCUGUUGGGUCCCGGUGGUCGUCCGCCAGCAACCCCCAACUUUCUUAAGUUUGACCUGGGAUGAGGUAGGGAUACCCGCUGAACUUAAGCAUAUCAAUAAGCGGAGGA